rnacentral:lncRNA from 12 species
AUGCCUCCAUCCAGAGAUCCAAACUGUGGGGAUAAACACCUCCAGACAAAAAUCCCACUUCCAGAUCUGGUAGUCAGCCUUGAUGCCCUAUUCGGAGGUCAAGGCACCAGCAGUACAAAGCUUUCCCCUGAAGAUCUCCUCUCCAGAGCCUGGUGUGCUGUCUUCAGAGGCUGGGGUAUCAGCUGUGCAGAGAGACACGUCCCUCCCCAGGGGUUUCGUCUUCCAAGAUUUGCAUCUUCAUCAAGGCAUCGCAUGUCAGGGAAGAUGAGAAGGACCCAUGCUGCCGUGAGCUGGCCCAGCCGGCAUGGCUUUGGCUCCCGAGACGCAGCGUGGUCCGAGCCGGGUCUGCGCAGCUGCCUCUUCAGGCACGAGCUCUGGCUGAGCAGGAGCAAGCCAGGAGGAGAGAGCAUCUGGCUGAGGUCUCCUCGGGGUGAAGCGCUCACCCUCCGACUUGGCCUCGCCCACCCCUCCACCCUUUCCAACCCUGACGCUGCCUUGGCCUGCACUGGCGAGUGGUACAUGUGAGCUGCCCCGUGACAUGUGGUUGUGCUUAACUCUAUAGAACUUUGAACCAACCUCAAGCUGCGCCAGUGAAAAGAUCAAAGUCAAUAAAGUGUAUGUAUUUUAUAAACGGUGAACUUUU